AAAAGGUGGCUAUGCUACCGCUUUUGGAUGGGCCCGCGGCGCAUUAGCUAGUUGGUGGGGUAAAGGCUUACCAAGGCAAUGAUGCGUAGCCGAACUGAGAGGUUGAUCGGCCACAUUGGGACUGAGACACGGCCCAAACUCCUACGGGAGGCAGCAGUAGGGAAUCUUCCACAAUGGGCGAAAGCCUGAUGGAGCAACGCCGCGUGGGUGAAGAAGGUCUUCGGAUCGUAAAACCCUGUUGUUAGAGAAGAAAGUGCGUGAGAGUAACUGUUCACGUUUCGACGGUAUCUAACCAGAAAGCCACGGCUAACUACGUGCCAGCAGCCGCGGUAAUACGUAGGUGGCAAGCGUUAUCCGGAUUUAUUGGGCGUAAAGGGAACGCAGGCGGUCUUUUAAGUCUGAUGUGAAAGCCUUCGGCUUAACCGGAGUAGUGCAUUGGAAACUGGGAGACUUGAGUGCAGAAGAGGAGAGUGGAACUCCAUGUGCAGCGGUGAAAUGCGUAGAUAUAUGGAAGAACACCAGUGGCGAAAGCGGCUCUCUGGUCUGUAACUGACGCUGAGGUUCGAAAGCGUGGGUAGCAAACAGGAUUAGAUACCCUGGUAGUCCACGCCGUAAACGAUGAAUGCUAAGUGUUGGAGGGUUUCCGCCCUUCA
rnacentral:rRNA from 1 species